AAUUUGAAAUCUGGCCCCCCGGGCCCGAGUUGUAAUUUGGAGAGGAUGCUUCUGGCGCGGCGCCUUCCGAGUGCCUUGGAACAGGCCGCCACAGAGGGUGAGAGCCCCGUACGGUAGGACGCCAAGCCGGUUCGAAGCUCCUUCGACGAGUCGAGUAGUUUGGGAAUGCUGCUCAAAAUGGGAGGUAAAUUUCUUCUAAAGCUAAAUACCGGCCAGAGACCGAUAGCGCACAAGUAGAGUGAUCGAAAGAUGAAAAGCACUUUGAAAAGAGGGUUAAACAGUACGUGAAAUUGUUGAAAGGGAAGCGCCCGGGGCCAGACUUGCGCCCCGCGGACCACCCGGCGUUCCGCGCCGGUGCACUCCGCGGGGCGCAGGCCAGCAUCGGUUCUUCCAGGGGGAGAAAGGCCGCGGGAACGUAGCUCCUCCGGGAGUGUUAUAGCCCGCGGCGCCAUGCCCCUGGGGGGACCGAGGACCGCGCU
rnacentral:rRNA from 1 species